rnacentral:piRNA from 1 species
UGGGAGCUCUUAUACCUCACAAAUGGGUAC